GGGCCCGUAGCUUAGUUGGUAGAGCGCGUCGUUUGCACCGACGAGGUCGAAAGUUCGAAUCUUUUCGGGUCCACCA
rnacentral:tRNA from 1 species